AACGAACGCUGGCGGCAGGCUUAACACAUGCAAGUCGAACGCAUCCUUCGGGGUGAGUGGCAGACGGAUGAGUAACGCGUGGGAACGUGCCCUUCAGUUCGGGAUAACCCAGGGAAACUUGGGCUAAUACCGGAUACGUGCGAGAGCAGAAAGAUUUAUCGCUGAAGGACCGGCCCGCGUCUGAUUAGCUAGUUGGUGGGGUAAUGGCCCACCAAGGCGACGAUCAGUAGCUGGUCUGAGAGAUGAUCAGCCACAUUGGGACUGAGACACGGCCCAAACUCCUACGGGAGGCAGCAGUGGGGAAUAUUGGACAAUGGGCGCAAGCCUGAUCCAGCCAUGCCGCGUGAGUGAUGAAGGCCUUAGGGUUGUAAAGCUCUUACGUCCGGGACGAUAAUGACGGUACCGGAAGAAGAAGCCCCGGCUAACUUCGUGCCAGCCGCCGCGGUAA
rnacentral:rRNA from 1 species